UUUUGAUCAGUCGCAAUCAGUCGUCUCCAGUCGUCUCCUGUAAACUGGAAGAGAAAGGACGUUAUUUUUUGUGGAUCGGAGAUUUUGUGGUAACUUUUUCAUCAAGCCCGAGCAAGCCAUCUUUUUUUUUGUGCCUCGGCUUCUCGCUAAUCAUAUCUGAAUGUUCCUUGAUGAAUCUGUACAAACAAAGCAGUUUUUCGUUGAUAACUGGUAAACGUUCCAAGUUGGAGUUCUACCAGAGAGGUGGCACUACCAUGUCGUUUGCCAGCAUGUUGGAGUCUUGGCUGAUGUGUCAUACUAAUACGAAGCUGGAUCAACAUAGUACAAUAACAAGAUCAUCAAUCAGAAUAAUAAACAAGCUCAUCAAUGACAGCACUAAAUUAAACAGAAUAUAUUUUCAAAGCAACUUAAGGCAAAAAGAUGAGUUUACAUUGAAAAUAGAUGAUAAUGAAUGAUGAUGAUGGUCAUCUGACUUGACUGAAAACGAUGAAGGGCGCUUGAAGUGUUGAUAGUUACGAGAAUGUGAUGGAUUUUGAUAUAGCAAUAGCUUCAUCGAUGAACACUUCAAACGUGUACCUAUCGACGAACACGUUCCAGGAAUGGCAAUCAUCGUGAUAGGAUAGUAAUACAAUUAUCACCUGGACAACACACAGAGAGGAUUCUCAAUAGUGAAUGCCUAUAUACGCGUAUAAUUAGUGGUUGAAUCGAGAGUGCACGAACUGAUGGAUGCCAUAUCCAAUCUAUAUAUUAUCAUCAUCAUCAUCCAUUUAUAUAUACUUGACGAAAAUAGAGAUAAAGAGUAAAUAUAUAUAUAUAAAAAGGGAUUUGCAAGUAUGUACAAUUCAAUGCAAAUAUUCUCAUGACCAGGAACGAGUUCGUUAAUCUGUUAAUGCAUUUGAUUUCAAUGAUGAAAAUCUAGUAGAAAAUCACUGAAAAACAAAGAUGCUGUACUUGUUCGUUGUCCGAUAAAAUUAAACAUGUUUAUAUUAAAAAACAUACUGGCGAUUCAUGCUGACGAAAGUUUAAUCAGUUUUAUCGAUAACGCCUUGGGCUUUAAAGCAGUAUAAACAACGAGUUUGGAUAUUUGUGUGCAGAGUAUUUAUCUUGGUGCUGAGAAUAAUCACAAUAUGACCACUAGACAAUGAUGCCUCACACGAGAUGGACCAUGUUUAAGAUGGAAGUUGAGAGAAAAAAAAUAAAUAAAAUGAUUCAUGAAGGCUGUGAUCGUAAUGUGAGCAAGUAAGCGGACAUUAUCGGCUCGUUGAGAGUCGUCAUCAACUCUUGAGAUGCAUUUCAGGCAUUUUAACGUGAGUACUAACGGACAAAGACGAAUUAUAAAAAUUACGUUAAAGUUCUAAAGUGAGGAUGUAAAAUGAGUACUGGAUAUAUGAUGGUGUUUGACUAAAUAUAAAGAAAAUAGUCUAAAAAGUUUUCAAGUGAUAUGAAAGCUACAUUUUAGAGAAAUUGGAUGAUAAAGGUCUUGCUUGUGGUGUAUGUUGUAUAUUCAACUGACUCAACCCUCUUGUUUAACGUAAAAUUGUUGUGAUAUCUACACCCCUUUUCACGAACGGAGCCCGCCCAAUGAGAGAAUAACCAAAGAAGAUAGUGUGACGACGUGAUGAAUGUGACAGUUAGAUUAAUUGUUGGCUACCGCGUUCAUCGGUGCGUUUGUUGGUUUGUUUUCGGUCGAAGAGAAGAGGAGAGGAGGUGUUGAAAAUCAUUGCCAACGUACGAGGAAUUUGAUAAUAAAGAAAAUUGAUUGUAAAAAAGAAAAAGGAAAAAGUUGCGUAUAUUUGACCUUUAAUAAUAAAGUAAUAGUCAAUUAUCGUUGAAAUUAUUUGUCACGAUCGUCACGCUAACUUUACAUAUGUUUGGCCUUAACAAUACUCAGGUUAAACAGCAUAUUACACGACGAGAGGAUAAAAUUGUUUGGCAUCAAUUGACGUGAAGGUUAAACCACUGGUGAUAAAUUUGUUUACCGUUAUUGCAUCAAAUUACAACUGGAUCCAUCAAAAAAUAUAUAUCUUAUUCUUCACGGUAUCAACUGUAAUUUCAAUUCAAUAUACAAAGUGAGUAUGUGAGUCAACCUGCCCACGAAAUCGAGGCCAUGUGACAAUGGAUUGAUUUAGUGAAAUUCUGUUCUGUUCUGGCUUGAAUAGUCUCGAGGUGGGUCUCUCAAGUAAACCAGUCAACUGAUGAUCUCAACCCCAUGGUACUGUCUCUUGGUCACGUACAGACUGUAACACGCGUACUGAUAUAUUCUGUGUUCAACAUGUACACGGAUCAGAGAAUGCGUCUUGAGUAUGUUUCGACAUUCAGCUAUACAUACAACCACGUGUACAAGUCACUCGUCUUUGGACAACAGGCCACUUUGUUUUGGACAACUUGCCUUGAUUAUACACAAUACAAUAAAGGAAUGAAAAAUGUGUAGGCGUGGUGAUGCAAUUCAUGUUUAUAAAUAUUUUUGUUGAUCAUUUUGAUCUACUUAAAUUUUUAUUUUCAUUCUUAUUGUACAUCCAAUUGGUAUAUUGAGUUGGUUGGACGCUCAAGUUGCAGACAGAUGGUUUUAAAAUUAAACUGAAAAAAAAAAAACAACAUUCAACUACAUCAUAAAGACUCGUGUCGCCAGUUGACUAUGAAUGUAAUCCUGAGGGAAGGUUGGUUUGGUCCGGUUGGAUUGUUGAACGUCCAGCAUAGAGAUUUCAUCGUAUCAUAAUAUGUGAUAUGUGGCGAAUAUAUGCGGUGACGAAAGUGGACUCUGAUACGCCUGGUGAAUCGUCACGCCAAAGUGGACAUUGUCGUCAAGAGAAGUUUAUGCAAUCGUAUUUAAAAUUGAUUACGAGGGUUCCAUGCUGCUGCUUGAUUAUUUGGAAAAGAAAAAUCAUCAUGCUGUACUUGAUGAAAGCAAUUAAUAUACACAUAAAGUUGGAAAAAAAAAUAAUUCCAUUGCGCCAUAACCAGGUGAACAAUUGUGUUUUAUCAAGGUGGCUGAUUAUCUUUAUCAAUUGAGAAAACAUCAGCUACGUAGGACGUGAUAAUUAAAAAUCUUAUAACAAUUUUAUGUAAUUUAAUUUCAAAAUGUCAAUGUGGUGGGUCACAUCUAUACGCAUACAAACGAUUCGUCAUUUUACCUGUCAAUCAAGGAUGGAAAAAAAAGUGAGCGAAUGCAUAAUCAUGACAGAUUAUUAUUUGCGGCAUAUCAGAGAAUAAUACAAUGGAGUAAAAUGAAUGGGAACUCAAUGCAGAACAGUGAACGUGGAUCAAAACUUAAUAACGAUGUCAUAUCGGCUUCGGGGUAUUUUUCAAUAGACUUGAAAUUUCAUGGCUUUGCAUUACGAGUUUUUAAAAAAAAUCGUCAACCAAAAAGUAUGCGACAGGAGCAUUGGCCUUAAUGCAUUCCAAGAGGUGAUAAAAUGAUCAAGGGCUGUGUGUGUGGCUGCAUAAAGGUCGAAGGUACGAUGGUUUGCAGAAAAAAAAAAAAAAGAUGAAGCAAGCAAGGUGCAUUAUAUAUAUUAUCCAAGGAUUUGCAUUGGACAAGACUUACAGUUAUUGCUGAACAUCUCAUCAGGACUUAUGAGGCACCCUAAGAAAAUGGCUUGAGCUAUAUGGCCAUGGCUAUUUUCUCUUGUCUUGGAAUCUAAAGAUGAAUAGUAAAGGGGAUGAAAUUAUCUUGGGGAUAUAUUUCGUGUCUUUCAGAGCAGAGUUAUAUGAGAAAAUUUUACUGUAUAUUUGAAAUAUACAAUAAGCAAUUGAAGUGACUCAAGUUAUAUACACUUUAAUCUUGAAAAUUGUUACUAGCAGUCAUGGUCAUCUUCCUGUAGUCGUUUUGGUGUCCCAACUAAUUAAAGUAAAACCGUAUUUUGGUAAUUCAAAGUGUCCAUAGUACAUCUCUACACUUUACAGUUGAAUUGUUAGUAGAUGAAGAGAAAGGAGAAUACGAAAAUUUACAAUUUUAUACAUAUAUAUGUAUAUAAAUGUGAAACUCGUGGAAACUAAGUGCCUGACUGUCCUUGGAAUUGGCUCAUUCCCGUGAAAUAACUGCCUCUCAAUAUAUAUUGUUAAUGUAUAGAUAUAUAUAUCGUUAUACCAGGACAUCCGCCUUAGCAAGAAUAAUCCAACUGUAUAGUUUAUCCCAAAGCCAGGAAUUGCGUAACAUUAAACUUGGUGACGACAAAACUUAGCUUGGUGGUGCCAAGAACAAUGAAAAUGUGACAAAUAUCUUAUUAUUUCUUGUCUUUGGCGCCGAGUUGACUUGGGCAGGCUAUCAAUUAUUACUAUUAUCUCUGUAAAAUUAUCAUCAUCAUCAUCAUCAUCAACAUUAACAUUAACAUUAACAUACAUACAUGUUACAGUGGAAAAUCGUUUGGGCAAAAUCACUGAGAGAAGAGAAACCAAAUCCCAUAGGAAGUUAGCACGGAUUACCAUGGGCAUCCAUCACUCGAUGUUUCUUUCCAGUCAGCAUCAACUGUAAAGGCGAAAAUAGAGUCUUAGAGGGAUACAACUUGUCUGUAUUGGAAAAGGAAAUUUCCGGCAAAUUGCAGCCCCAAGCUAUGGCCUGUAUAUCUAUUCUUGUUUUUGGUCUUUGGAUUUUAAUUCACGCUGAGUGAACGAUGGAACAAUGACAGACUCAAGUGGUUCUCCAUGGGUCAAAGGGAGUGCUCCAUGAUUGGUGGAAGAAGAAAAUAAAGACGAUAAUGAAAAAAAAAAAGAAGAAAAAAAAAAUUGAAAACGUUUGCAAGAAUGAGAGAAGAGACGCUCGGGCACGCUUUGGCCACUUUGCUAGACGAGAAAGUGGAGUCUGUAUACUUGAGAUGUAAAGGCGAAAUAUACGGGUACGUGUGCUUUGUACAUGAGUGGAUUGUGUACGAGGAGGAGAGGCCUUCAUCGUACGAGUGCUUUUGCUUGCUGAAUCAAAUGCAUAUACCUGCAUGUGGACCAACUCACCCGAGAGCACCUGUUGAAACGACCGCAUAUCCAAAGUUGCUCGACUUCAAUCUAUCGUUCAGGAUUCGUGACGAAUACUAAUAAAGUUGAACCCGCUAAUUUCUUCAAGUGACCCUCUUGAAGUAGCGUGUUCGAUUAUAUAUAGGGUGUGGAAAAGGUCUGAAUUCGUUGGGGGUUGCCGAAAGAGAAAAAAAAAAAGCCAAGAGAAACCGUUUUGGAAUUGAAAAAAAAAAAAACCACCACCACCACCUAUGGCGUUUGGGAAAUAUGCUUUCAGGCACUUUCAAACUUAAGGGCGUUUUAGAUUCCAAUCUAAUAAAUACUUCCUCAAUGCUAACUGUCUUUUUUUUUAUGUUAUUAUUUUUUAUUAGGGAGAGAGAGUGUAUACAUAGAGAAGGAAAAAAAAAAAAUGCGUCCAUCCGUAUCGCCUUUUUUAAAACCUACUUAUCUUGGAAGCUACAAAUCAAUUUAACGACAUGAAUAAAAAGUCAUUUUAACUUGCUAUUAUUUUUGGUUCGUUAGGAUGUGUCUCUUCAUUAAUCACAUAUCCCUUCACCAGCCGGAAACGAUGAAUUUUCUAUGCUCAAUGCAGAAAUCUAAAAGUGAAAAGGAAAAAAAAAAAAGCUAUAUCAAUAAAAAAUAAGUGAGUCCGGUCAAAAAUAUACGUCGACAAAACACAUUUGAAAAAUGUAUGAAUUUUAUCAGCAACAGCAUUUUUAAUCACACUGGUAUUUAUGUGGUUGGUGUUAAUAUAGAAGCUAUGUGGUUAUGCAUAGUAAUGAGAAACGAGAGAAACACGGGACACAAUCUAAUAGGCAUAAAAUGCUCCAGUUAAAAACUCCAUCUUAAAUAUUGGAGAAAUAAAAAGAACAAAGCCGAUUAAAAACAAAAAGAAAAUUACUCGGAAAUUUGUUUUUAUAAUGACGAGUAACGGAGUAAAAUGCAUUGACUGUGUGACAUUUGCUAAUGGACACUGAUGGUGAUAAAAAUUUAUCUUUUCAUCGAUACACCUGCUAUAUAAUAAUAAUAUGAAUUUCAAUGAGACAAGCCAACAAUAUCAGUUGAGAAUUUCCAUAAUCAUCAAUGCAAGUAUGAGGAAGUUUAGUAAUUUUUUUAUCAUCUAUCAUUCGAACUUUCUUUUGGAUGAAUUUGUGGCUAAUUAAUUUUUUUUUUUGGCUAUUGCGAUUUGUUGUCAAGGCUUUAUGUGAUCCAGGAAUUAAUGAUAGAAAAAUCAUCAAACUAAGUUAUAAAAAUCUAAUACUAUACCGAGAGUAUACCAUUUAUUUUUCUUCAGAUCAAACAAAUGUGUUUAUUCAUUGGAUUUCGACUGUCUCUUCAUUUAUUUAGGCGGACAAAUUUCAAAUAAAAUUGGGUCAAUGGGGGAAACAACUUACUACCAAAGUAAAAUAGAAAAAUAAAAAAAAAAAAAACGAAAAAUUUGUUGCAGUAUCGUCAACGAAACGUGAGCAAUCGCAAGAAAUACACAUGACACUAGACAAAUGACUGUUUUUGACCCUGUUGUGAUCUUUGAAAAAAUAAGUUUUAGGGUCGAAGUCAGAGCAAAACGAUAAGAGCAAACCAAUCCUACACCUCUUUACUUUAUAUCCACCAUAGAAAAAAAGAUAGUGAAAUCACUCGUAGUUGAUCUUAUCCCUUGACUGUUUGCUUGCUUCAUUACCUCAAUAUAAAUUGUCCUGGCUGGUUGGGGUCACUCUUGAUUGAAUAUCAUCAUUUAUUUCUUUAUUUCAAGGUAGAUACACAAUAC
rnacentral:lncRNA from 1 species